AUGCAUGAGUUAACUAAGGAAAACAUUGAGCGCAUGAAUGCUAAAUAUAAACUUGCUGGAGAUAAGGGUAGAAAACAUGUUGUGUUUGCACGUGGAGAUCUUGUUUGGUUACAUUUGCGUAAGGAUAGAUUUCCUGAUUUGCGCAAAUCAAAGUUAAUGCCACGUGCUGAUGGUCCCUUUAAGGUGUUAGAGAAAAUAAAUGAUAAUGCAUAUAAACUUGAGCUGCCUGCAGAUUUUGGGGUUAGUCCCACAUUUAACAUUGCAGAUUUGAAGCCUUAUUUGGGUGAGGAAGAUGAACUUCCGUCGAGGACGACUUCAUUUCAAGAAGGGGAGGAUGAUGAGGACAUCAAUACAAUUGUUACACCCACAGCCCCUGCUGCUAUACAUACUGGACCAAUUACUAGAGCUCGUGCACGCCAACUAAAUUACCAGGAAACAGACCCUCGUGGUCAGGUUGAUCGUGCUCCGGCGUGGUCAAUAACCUCUCGGAGUUGGUUUAGCGAUUGCUAA
rnacentral:rRNA from 1 species